UCGAACCAGCCAUGCUUAGCCUUUAGAAUCAACAGCUCAAGUAUGAAACGAAGCACGGCCAGUGUUUUGGACAUCCCUUUGAAUGCUCAUACAUAUUGUCCUCCACUGAUUUUUUCACCAUCUCAAAGUUUGCUAACCCCUUUGCGCUACCAACCAAUAGUUCUGCUUUGGUGUGACGUAACAACUAGCUCAGGAAAUCACUGUCAUCAAGUUCAUCGUCACCACUACUAUCAUAACCACCAUAUUUGUCAUCACCACCACCAUCGCCACCCUCGUCAACACCAUCAUCACCAUCGGAGCCACCACCAUCAUCAUCG
rnacentral:lncRNA from 1 species